rnacentral:rRNA from 1 species
CCCCUAGAUGUUCUGGGCCGCACGCGCGCUACACUGAACAGUUCAACAAGUCUUAACCUUGGCCGAUAGGUCUGGGUAAUCUUUGAACGCUGUUCGUGAUUGGGAUAGACCUUUGCAAUUAUGGGUCUUCAACGAGGAAUUCCUAGUAAACGCAAGUCAUCAGCUUGCAUUGAUUACGUCCCUGCCCUUUGUACACACCGCCCGUCGUACCUACCGAUUGAAUGGUCCGGUGAAAUCUCGGGACGGCGGCUUGGUCGCUUGCGUCCGACUGCUGAAACUUGAUUAAACCAUAUCAUUUAGAGGAAGGUGAANUCGUANCA